rnacentral:sRNA from 1 species
UACUUGCGUCUUAAAAGGUGCAUAGU